CAUUUAUUCAAGAAAUACUGAUUAACACUAACUCUAUGCCAUGUACUAUUCUAGGUUCUGGGAAUACAGUGAAGACCUUGACUUUGUGGAGCUUAUCAUAUGGAGGAAAAGCAAAAUAGUGUCAUUGAUAUCUGCUUCUAAGAUGACCAGGGAAGAAGACAGGAAGAGACAAAGCACGCAAACAAUGCAGAGAGCCACAUCUGUUUACUUUCUGAGGAGGAGAUGACAGUCUCAGACAUCUUUGCAGCUACAUCUUUGCAUUUGCUCUGCUCAUGGCCAUCUCUGCCGACUUCCUCUUAUCAUGGUAAGACAGAUGAGCCCUGCUCUUGGGAC
rnacentral:lncRNA from 1 species